UGGAAUAAUCUUUAAUAUGCAUAUAUGAUAAGUAAAUAUGUAUGUUGAUUAUACAAUGAGUACAACUCGUUAAUUUCUUGAAUAAUUAUAUAUGUUGCUUAUUUUCCGAGUACUCAUUUAUUCUUGAAUUUGCACUUGCAAUCUGUCAAAGUAAAUUCUAUUUGAUAUGAUAUAUGUUUCUUUGAUGACUAUGUGAAUAUCUAUUAUGCCUUGAUAUGGGACUUGUCAGUAACUCCAUGCUAACGGAGAGUAGUUAGCCUGUGUGCACAUAGUAUUCUGUAUGUAUACCUAGCUGGUGAGAGAGGCAUCAGCCUGUGGCGACUGAUCAUCCCACAGUGGUCACCUUCGGGUGUCAUCUGGUCUGGUCACCUUCGGGUGUCAUCUGGUCACCUUCGGGUGUCAUCUGAUCUCUGACAUAUAGUCCAUUACGUUAUGAUGAUAUGUUUAGUAUGUAUGAUAUGUUCAGUAUGUAUAUGUAUAUGUAUAUGUAUAUCAAGAUAAAUGAUCUUGCGAACUAUUAAUAUCAAGAAUAUCUAAAAUGUAUAUUAAUUAUUAUUCCCUCACUGAGUUGGUUGAACUCACCCCUCAUUCUUAAUAUUAUUUCAGGUUCUUAGUUUCUGAUAGCAGGUGAACUUUGUUGAGUGUUCCUGCUUCUUCAGUUUUGGGUCAGUAUGCCUUGCUUAUCUUUCAAGGCUGUUUGAUUCGAUGUCUUAGGCGCUCCACUAUUACCUUGUUUUAAUUAAGUUUGGAUUUUGACAAUGUAAUGAGUAUUAUGGAUUAUUAUUUUUGUUUUAAUUACUGAUGAGGAGUUUUAAACUAUCUUUUGGUUUCAUCAGUUUUGAAUAAUAUAAGAUUUCUGAAGAUUAUGAAAUGCUGCGUAUUUUUGAAUAAAUUAUUCUUUUGAUAUGUCCGUUUUGAGGCUUAGCGCGGGCGGGGUGUCCUUCCGGCACCGCUCCUGCGUUGCCGGUCAUGGACCCGGGAUUCGGGUCGUGACAAAGGUGGUAUCAGAGCCCGGUUUUUAUUAAAACCUCGUAAUCUAUUUUAUUCAUUUUUAUUUUUUUCAAAACCCUCGUAAUAUGUGGAGCUUAGGAUCUAUCUUGUCUUGAUGUCAGUCCUCUUAUAAUUCUCCAAUCUAGUGUUUGGUGUGUCCUCCUUAAAACUCCUUUAUAGUUAUGUUGAUACAUAUAUGUAAAUGCAUUCUUUUAGGAAAUAUGCCGAGAGCUAAGCAUGUAGUUAAUGCCGAAUAUGUCGGUAAUGAUCAAGAGGACAUUCCUAUCGCUCAGCUUAGGAAGGAGAGGCGCAAAAAGAGGGUUAGAACCCCUUCGCCUUAACCAAUGGAAGCAGAAGUUCAGGAUGAGGUGGAGUUUGAGGGAGACUAUGGUCUGGAUGUUGGUAAGAAUCAGGAGCAGGAAUCCCAUGAUAGGGUGUCUUAUACUGACAGUGCUUUGGAUAAGAUUGGACAGGCCAUGCAGACCCUGGCUGACCUUUUAACUGAGAGAGAGAAGGAGAAGGAUAAGAAUGCAUCUUCGACUUCCCAUACCGUGCAUGGGGUGAAAGUACCAUUGUCAGAGUUCCUUAAGCUGGCACCUCCUACUUUUAAGGGUGUUGAUAACUCUGAGGACCCACAACAGUUUUUGGAUGCAGUGUGGCGUAGGUGUGAGGCCAUGGGGUGCACGGAUCAUCGUGCAGUGACUUUGGCAUCUUUCAGGCUAGAAGGAGAGGUGGCUGUGAACUGGUAUGAGUCCAAGAGGGGUGAAAGGGCAGUUAGUUCGCCACCGAUGGAGUGGAAGGAAUUUUCUGAGAUGUUUUUGGAACGUUUUCUACCUGAAAGUGUAAGGGAAGCCAGAUCAUAUGAGUUUGAAAAGUUGGUUCAGGGUGACUUGAGUGUGACAGAGUAUGAAGUGGAAUUCACACGGUUGUCCAGAUUUGCUGGGUAUUUGGUACCGACUGAGGAGAGGAAGAUUAAGAGGUUUGUUCGAGGUCUUAAUAGCUACUUAUUCAAAGCUAUUGGGGCUCAUGAGUUUAAGACGUACUCAGCCAUAGUGGAUCGUGCCCGAGCUAUUGAGGCACGAGAGUUAGAGGAUGAAUUAUCAGUGGGUUCGGUUAAGAGGCCCAAAGUGGCAAAUCAGUUCUCUUUUCAGCAGCGGUCUGAUACAGGUCCUAGCAGGGGACAUGGGGGCCGGCAGGGCCAAUUAAGUCAGUCAAGGAAUUUCUUGUCGAGGUCCAUUAUCAGAGGAAACAAUAGACAUAGCAUGAGUGGAGCUGGUCCGACUCAGAGCCGAGGUACUGUUCAGUUAACACCACAAGGUUCAGAUGGGAGGCCUCAAUGUCAGUCUUGUGGGUCUAGGCAUUAUGGCACAGUCUGUUAUAGGCAGACAGGAGCUUGUUUCGGUUGCGGGCAGACUGAUCACUUGUUAAGGGAUUGUCCGAACAAGCGGUGGUCCAAGCCUGGUGCUUCUGUACUGAUUACAUCUUCCACUCAGACUCAGUCAGCUAGCCAUUCUGUGUUUCAGGGUGGUCGUGGAGCUGGUGGGCGUGGCCAGCGGGGCCGUGAAGUAGGCGGUAGAGGUUUUGCGCCAACAAGUCAGAGCCAGGCACGAGUUUUUGCCAUUACUCAGCAUGAUGCCCAGACAUCCAAUACUGUUGUCUCAGGUACACUCUUAAUAUGUUCCUUCGAGGCUAGAGUGUUAUUUGACACGGGGGCAACUCAUUCUUUCGUGUCGUCAUAUUUUGCUUUAAGGUUUACUAAACAACCCAUGUUGUUAGAGAGUCCUUUGUGUGUAGCUAUCCCUUCGGAUGACGUUAUGUUUGGGGAAUAUGUUUAUGUUGAUUGUGAGGUUCAAGUGCAAGGUAGAAACCUAUUAGGCAAUUUGGUAAUUUUAGAAAUAGUAGGUUUUGAUGUGAUACUAGGUAUGGAUUGGUUAUCAAGGCACCAUGCCUCAGUUGAUUGUUGGAAUAAGACAGUGAUUUUCAAGCCUGAUGAGGAGACGGAGUUUGCUUUUCAUGGAGAUGGGUUAUCAUCUCCAUCUAGUAUUCUCUCGGCCAUCACGAGAAGGAUGGUACGAAAGGGUAUGCAAGGGUUUUUGGCUUAUGUGCAUGAUGUGAACAUGAAGGUCCCGAGGAUGGAACAAGUUUCGAUAGUUAAGGAAUUCAUCGAUGUUUUUCCCAAUGACUUACCUGGACUACCUCCCAAUAGGGAAAUCGAGUUCUGUAUUGAUCUAGUUUCAGGAACAAAACCAAUCUCUAUGGCACCUUACAGGAUGGCGCCAGCAGAAUUAAAAGAGUUGAAGGAGCAGAUUCAAGAUUUGUUAGAUAAGGGGUUUAUUCGUCCAAGUGUGUCUCCGUGGGGAGCACCUGUUUUAUUUGCAAAGAAGAAGGAUGGAUCAAUGAGGAUGUGUAUAGACUAUAGACAGUUGAACAAGGUCACUGUUAAGAAUAGAUACCCACUUCCUCGCAUUGAUGAUCUUUUUGAUCAAUUACAAGGAGCUCAAUGUUUCUCAAAGAUUGAUUUGCGAUCGGGGUAUCACCAGUUGAGGAUUAGGAAUGAGGAUAUUCCUAAAACUGCCUUUAGGACUCGUUAUGGGCAUUACGAGUUCCUAGUGUUGUCUUUUGGGUUAACGAAUGCACCUGCAGCUUUUAUGGACAUGAUGAACAGGGUUUUUAGGCCGUUUAUUGAUAAGUUUGUUAUUGUGUUCAUUGAUGACAUCUUGGUGUAUUCAAGAAGUAAAGAGGACCAUGCAGAGCAUUUGAGAUUGGUGCUUCAAACUCUAAGAGAUCAUCAGUUGUAUGGAAAGUUCUCGAAGAGUGAGUUUUGGUUAGAGAGUGUUGGGUUUUUGGGACAUGUGGUGUCUAAAAAUGGGAUAGAGGUUGAUCCACAGAAAGUGGAGGCAGUUAAGCAGUGGCCUAGACCAGUUACGGUAUCUGAGAUUAGGAGUUUCCUGGGUUUAGCAGGAUACUACAGGAGAUUCGUGGAGAAUUUUUCCCGAAUCGCUGCUCCGUUGACGAAGUUGACACAGAAAAGUGUCAAGUUUCAAUGGUCAGAAGAAUGUGAGAAGAGUUUCCUGGAGUUGAAGGAAAGGUUAAUUACGGCUCCAAUUUUGACAGUACCUUCAGGGUCUGGUGGUUUUACCGUGUACUGUGAUGCAUCCAGGAUUGGUUUGGGUUGUGUUUUGAUGCAGAAUGGUAAUGUGAUUGCUUAUGCCUCGAGAAAGUUGAAGAAGCACGAGCAAAAUUACCCCACACACGAUUUGGAGAUGGCUGCGGUAGUGUUUGCCCUUAAGAUUUGGAGACACUAUUUGUAUGGGGAGACAUGUGAGAUAUUUUCAGAUCAUAAGAGUCUUCAAUAUAUCUUCCAGCAGAAGGAUCUGAAUUUGAGACAGAGAAGGUGGAUGGAAUUGUUAAGUGAUUAUGAUUGCACGAUUCAAUAUCACCCGGGCAAGGCAAAUGUUGUUGCCGAUGCCUUAAGCAGAAAAUCUAUGGGUAGUUUGGCUCAUAUUCAGGAGGUGAGGAGACCCUUGAUUAAAGAGUUACAUGGAUUGUUAGAUGAGAGGGUCAGUUUUGAGAUUUGUGAAUCGGGAGCAUUGUUGGCUCACUUUCAGGCUAAGUCAGACUUAGUAGACCGGAUUAAAGGAGCUCAAAUGAAGGAUGAGCGACUUUGCAAGAUUCGAGAUGAGUUGGAGUUAGGGAGAGCUCCGGGUUUUGUUAUCCAUGAAGAUGGUGUGUUGAGAUUUGGUUCCAGGUUAUGUGUGCCUGAGGUGGAUGAUUUGAAAAGAGAUGUGAUGACGGAAGCACAUCAAACUGCCUAUACUAUACAUCCUGGUUCUAACAAGAUGUAUAGAGACUUGAGAGAGUGUUACUGGUGGAAUGGCAUGAAGAGGGACAUUGCUGAAUUUGUAUCUCGAUGCUUGACCUGUCAAAGGGUUAAAGGUGAGCAUCAGAAACCACCAGGGCUUUUGCAGCCAUUGUUAAUUCCUUAAUGGAAAUGGGAGAGGAUCACUAUGGAUUUUGUGUCAGGUUUGCCUCGGAGUCAGGAGGGUUAUGAUUCGGUUUGGGUAAUAGUUGAUCGUUUGACCAAGUCAGCUCAUUUCUUGCCAGUAAAGGUGACAUAUGGGUUUGCAAAACUGGCAGAAAUCUAUGUUAACGAGAUCGUAAGGUUGCAUGGUGUGCCGAUCUCAAUUGUGUCCGACAGAGGUCCACAAUUCACUUCUCGAUUUUGGGUGAAGUUUCAGGAAGCUUUGGGGACUAACAUUCAGUUAAGUACUGCCUUUCAUCCUCAAACAGAUGGACAAUCUGAGAGGACUAUACAAAUUUUGGAGGAUAUGUUAAGAGCUUGUGUGAUUGACUUUGGUAUCGGAUGGAGCAAGUACUUGUCUUUGGUGGAGUUUGCGUAUAAUAAUAGUUAUCAAGCGAGCAUUGAUAUGGCUCCAUAUGAGGCUUUGUAUGGCCGGAAGUGCAGAUCACCUGUAUGUUGGUAUGAGGUUGGUGAGAGGAGAUUAAUGGGUCCCGAGUUAAUACAGAUUACUUCGGAUAAGAUUAAGGUGAUCCGAGAUAAGCUUCUAACAGCUCAGAGUAGGCAAAAGAAUUAUGCAGAUAAGAGAAGGCGUAAUCUAGAAUUUUCAGUGGGUGACAACGUGUUCCUAAAAGUCUCUCCGACUAAAGGGAUAUUCAGAUUUGGGAAGAAAGGAAAGUUGAGUCCUAGGUUUAUAGGGCCCUUUGAGAUCUUGGAAAGAGUAGGGGUAGUGGCAUAUCGGCUUGCCUUGCCACCUAAUUUAUCCUCUAUACAUCCGGUGUUCCAUGUUUCGAUGUUGAGAAAGUAUUUGUCUGAUCCAUCUCAUGUGCUGGAAGUUCAACCGGUUGAGCUGAGGAAAGAUAUGACAUAUGAAGUUCAACCAAUAAAAAUAGUGGAUCGACAAGUUAGAAAACUUCGGUCGAAAGAUAUCGCAUCGGUUAAGGUUGUGUGGAGCGGACACCCACGUGAAGAAGCGACGUGGGAGCUUGAGGAGGAAAUGCUCAACAAAUAUCCAUUCUUGUUUGAACUUGAUGGUAAGACUUUUUCUUAAAGUUUAAGUUUCGAGGACGAAACUUUUAUAAGGUGGGGAGAUUGUGAUGUUUUGAAAUUUAAUGAGUUGGUAAAAGGCAAUAAAGCCCUUGAAGGCUAAAAAUGAGUAUAAAUGAAUAAGGGGUAUUGUAGUAAUUGAACAAAGAGUUGAUAAAUAUAAAUAGAAGAGAAAAUAGAAGAAGAGAGCUGUGUUUUAAGAGUGAAAACUGACGGGAGAAGAGAAGAAAAAGGGGAGGAAGAAGAAGAGAAAAGAGGGAAAGAUAAGUAAAAGAGAAGAGAAUUGGAGGAAAUAAGUUUAAAGGUAAGAUUAUGUAUAAAUAUGUGUUCUUUAAGCCUUAAUUUCUGUUUUGAUAAAUGUUAGGGUUUUGAAUAUUGUGUUUUGAGUUUGAUUGAUGAAUUAAUUGGAAGGUUAUGGGUUGAUUGUUGUGGGUAAUUGGUUAAUUAGUUGAUUGUGAGAGAUUGGAGGUAAAGAUGAUGAUUUUGAGUUAUGAUUUUAUUUGAAUGGUGAAAUUGUGUUAGAAAUCAGAAGAUGACAGUAGGUAAUCUGUGAAAUUCUGGGUUUGAGGUUGAAGAUGACGAAAAUUCAAUUUGGUCCCUCAAUUUGUGAAAUUACAGUUUAGUCCCUAAACUUUGGGAAAAUUAUAAUUUGACCCCUAAUUGUAUUUUAAGAUUAUGGGCAGUGUUAUUAUGAGGUUAAGGAUGAUGAAUCUGAGUUUGAUAAUUGAUUUGGAAUAUUUUCAGUUUGGUCCCUCAAUUUUGGGAAUUUACAUUUUAGUCCCUGAACUUUAUGAAAAUUACAGUUCGGUCCCUGGUUCGUUCUAGACAGAAUUAAGGAUGGUUUAUGGGUGAAAAUUCAGUAUAGUUAUGUAUUUUCCAGAUUGGUCCAAUUUUGGUAAAAUUACGUUUUGGUCCCUGUUUUGGAAAAUUAUCGUUUUAGUCCAUAAACUUAGGAGACUAAACCUGGUUUUAUUUUAUGCAUUGGGAUCUCUUGUUUGAGUUGCUUUUGAGUAUAUUUUCAUAUUGUUGUAGGUUCUCCUAACGAUCCUCAAUAGGAUUUUCGGGUCUUUCGUCUGACAUUCCUUUUAGUUCUAUAUUUUCCGGGUGAGUGGAAUAAUCUUUAAUAUGCAUAUAUGAUAAGUAAAUAUGUAUGUUGAUUAUACAAUGAGUACAACUCGUUAAUUUCUUGAAUAAUUAUAUAUGUUGCUUAUUUUCCGAGUACUCAUUUAUUCUUGAAUUUGCACUUGCAAUCUGUCAAAGUAAAUUCUAUUUGAUAUGAUAUAUGUUUCUUUGAUGACUAUGUGAAUAUCUAUUAUGCCUUGAUAUGGGACUUGUCAGUAACUCCAUGCUAACGGAGAGUAGUUAGCCUGUGUGCACAUAGUAUUCUGUAUGUAUACCUAGCUGGUGAGAGAGGCAUCAGCCUGUGGCGACUGAUCAUCCCACAGUGGUCACCUUCGGGUGUCAUCUGGUCUGGUCACCUUCGGGUGUCAUCUGGUCACCUUCGGGUGUCAUCUGAUCUCUGACAUAUAGUCCAUUACGUUAUGAUGAUAUGUUUAGUAUGUAUGAUAUGUUCAGUAUGUAUAUGUAUAUGUAUAUGUAUAUCAAGAUAAAUGAUCUUGCGAACUAUUAAUAUCAAGAAUAUCUAAAAUGUAUAUUAAUUAUUAUUCCCUCACUGAGUUGGUUGAACUCACCCCUCAUUCUUAAUAUUAUUUCAGG
rnacentral:lncRNA from 1 species